CCAGAAUAUGAGCAGCUCGCUACAAGUUUUAAGAAAGCUAAAUCAGUCUUGAUUGCCAAGGUUGACUGUGAUGAGCACAAGAGUGUGUGUGUGUGCAGGAAGUACAGAGUUUCUGUCUAUCCAACAAUCCAAUGGUUUCCCAAAGGGAUGUAGAAGGAUGCCAUUGCUCCUUGAGGACCCCACUUCAGAGUCUUGAAGGUUCAAGUUGGUGUGGCGUCCUUCACCGCCACAAAGUUCCAGCCGGCGGUGACAACGCGCCCUCUUUCCCUGCAUCGUCUACCAUGAGGUUGUAUCAGCGGGCCCACACAUCACCUCGGCUCUGUCCUGGCGUUCUUCC